CCCCAACCACUGAGCUCUGCUGAGGACCCAAGUCACCCCGGCCUUACAAUGAGACCAUUGUACCCAGCUGGCCCCGUGCCCUCCUCCAAAAUGAGAUCAUAGGCUGUUCGCCAAACGCUCCCCCAGCCCUAGGUCCACUGCAUCGCCGCGUCUCUCCGCAGUGCUUCCCAGUGCGGGAUGGAGAAGAGAGUCGCCGGCUUUUCCCGGAGUCUCUCCCUGCCCAGCUUGUGAUCUGAACUGAUCCCUCUUCGCAGAUGUUGUUUGUUUCCCUUGCAGAGCCUGGAGAAGCCGGGGGAGGCUGGCAUCAUUUUCUGCUGCUGCCGCUGCUGCUGCUCCUUAGAGCAAAAGCAGGAGUGAAAGGAGGUGGAAUCUUGCGGCCGAAGGUUUUGUGGGGCCAGCAAGGAACCUCUGCGAGGAUCUGUGGGUUUGGACCAUUGGGAGCAGCACUGGGACUGCCGGGGAGUAAACUCGCUUUGUCAGGAGCCUGUGCCAUGAGCAUUGAUUGGACCAUGUUGUGCCGAUUAACCUCCGGUUCAGAGUCAGUUCUCCUAGCAGGAGAACCCUGACGGACAGAAUGCAACAGGGAUGGGGCCGCCCGGCUUCUGCAGCCGUGACACAGGAGGCUAGAGGAAUGACCCUGCAGAUGUUGAGUGACCCAGCCCCUGCCCUGCUUUUCACGGGGGCUGAGCUCUUUUGGAAACUGGCCCUCCCAGAGCACGUAGGAGGGCUGGGAGUGACGGGGCAGUGCAGCUGUAGCUCAACAAGCCAGUGGAUUUUAUUGGCGGACGGGAGCCCUGGUAGAGGAUGGUGAAGCGCUGCUCCAGAACCGAGCAGAGGACCCAGCGCUGCUCUUGAAUUGGAAAGCUCUCGGGUUGAACAUGCCACACAACUGACUACGGCUAAGAUUUUUGUUAUGGUUGUUUUUAGUAAAAGUCCCGGACAGGUGAUGGGCAAGAAACAGAAAUUCCCGGAAGCCGUGACCUGUCUGACUCUUGCUGCUGCGGCUCCCUGGUUUUCCCCCACCACCACGGUGGCUCGGAGCUGUGGGGUUCUCCCUCUGCCUGUGGCAGGGUGACUAUAUUUCCCAAAGAGAAAAGGGGACACCCCCGCCAUGGCUCGCCGAAGUGUCCCCCGUCGCUGGAACCCUGCGGUGGUUCCCCUCAGGGGUCUGUCACCUGUUGCUGGGCCUCCCUGACAUAAACGUAGCCUUAACUAUGGCUUAUUACACCAAUCUGUAACCCACUAGCCCUCUUUUGGCCUCGGACUACAGAGGUGUUAACUGCCCAUUUCACCUUGGAGGGUGUUUUGCAACCUGUUAACUCCUUAUGCUAAACAAUCUGUUCCCGCUGGUAUUUAGUUGUCACUCUGGUACCUUUCCCAGACCUGAAGACCUCUGUGGAGCUCGAGAUCUUGUGUCUCUCACCACCAGAAGUUGGUUCAAUAAAAGAUAUU